GUUCAAGGUACAAUUCAUUGUUAGCAACUUUGUUACAAUGUGAGGGUGAAUAGGGAUCACCAUGAAAAGGCUUUUAAAGUGUUGCUUUUGUGCAUGCCCUAACUCCGGUUGGCUUAAGUGGACAUCAUGUUCUUUAGUGCCAAUCAACACUGCAAAUCUGUGUUCCAAGAAAUGGCCUUGAUUGUGCAAGAUGAGUUCACCUAUAGUAUUUUGGACACCUAAAUGUGUAUUUUGAAAACAACUUAUUUGAAAAAGUUGCGACAAUCUCGUUACGACAAUGUCUAUUACGAAGCUAAUCGGAACAUCUAAUCUGGGAGCUCACUGGUCGCUAGCAGGUUAAAUAACAUUGUUUUCCAUAGCAUAGUGCUUAAAGUUGGAACAUAUUGGAAUAAAUUGCAUCCAACAGUUGUAAGGUGACUUUGGUACACACUAUCAAAGUUUGCUAAUGAAGAAAUACUUGAAGUAAGGUAUUUCAUACUUACACCUAGGAACAUUGGAACAGAAUGCGUACCAAAUGCUGUCAUAUCCAUAGCAAUCGGUAUACUGCUUAGUUUCAAGAAAUAACUUCUAUAAAAGUAUACCUGGCCCAGAUGUAUCUUUAGUUAUCUUUGAUCAAAUUGGUGAUGGGUUUACAGUUAAACCAAUCUGUGAAACUGUCGGUAAGCUUACAACAAACUGACGAAUUCGUAUCUAAUUUAUGUAAAAACAUUAAGGUGUGGUUUAGUACAUCCUUAUUGAAGAUUCCCUAAAGAUUAUUGAUUUGGGAUCCGUGAUUGUUGUUUGGCCAUUAGCGUCAAAUAGAUGCUGCGCUUUCGAAAAUGGAAUGAAUACUUCUGGAAAUGGAACAAUACUCGCAGUACCCGAUAUAUGUUCCAGCUGGUGAAGUAGUAAGCUCUGUGGGACAAGCAACAGCUAUACCUCAACGAGCAUCGAAAUCGUAUUUGACGAAGAGGAGACUUCAAGCACUUAGUACAGUGAUGGCUAGGGACGAGAAAAAGACUGCAGGUCGGGAAGAAAUGAAAUUACACGACGAUCUUGGUGAUGUAUACUGAGUAUUGGAGCUGCAACGCUUUUCAACAGCGUGUGGAGCAGUACUUGCGAAAUCCCAUCAAUCGACUACAGAUGACUUUUGCAUUUGG